UUCCGUAUUCGCGGGCGAUUUUUGCGGCAAGCGGGCUGGUCAACGGGUUUUCCUUCCUGGCGGCGCGUGAAUCGAAUGUUCUUAUCGUGAUCCCGAUGAUUUCAACUUUGCCUGUAUCAGCAGCAGUUUCACAAGAGAUUGAUCCGGUUCAGAAACCUUGGUUGUCCAAAUUCACCCUUAUUCCGGUCCGAUGAUGGGGAACUGUUGUCGCUCCUGCGAAGUUGUGCAGGCGAUCCGGAUUUCCGUCCCCGCUCGCUUCU
rnacentral:misc_RNA from 1 species